rnacentral:rRNA from 1 species
UACGUAGGGGGCUAGCGUUGUCCGGAAUCAUUGGGCGUAAAGCGCGUGUAGGCGGCUCGAUAAGUCUGCUGUGAAAGUCCAGGCUCAACCCUGGGAUGCCGGUGGAUACUGUCGAGCUCGAGUCCGGAAGAGGCGAGUGGAAUUCCUGGUGUAGCGGUGAAAUGCGCAGAUAUCAGGAGGAACACCAAUGGCGAAGGCAGCUCGCUGGGACGGUACUGACGCUGAGACGCGAAAGCGUGGGGAGCAAACAGG